GGUGGCUGAGUGGCAGAGUGCUUGCCUUGCAUGCAUGAGGCCCUGGGUUCAAUUCCCCAGUACCA
rnacentral:tRNA from 1 species